GUGGGGUUGUAGCUCAAUGGUAGAGUGCUUGCCUAGCAUGUGUGAGGCACUGGGUUUGAUUCUCAGCACCACA
rnacentral:tRNA from 1 species